rnacentral:lncRNA from 12 species
CUUUUCCAUUUAUAUUUCCAUCAUAUUUGAAAUAGGUUUGUCAAAGGAAACCUACAGAUACUCCUUUGGGACUACAAUCUAUAUCGAUGAAUUGGGUGGAUAUAAAAUACUGAAUAUUUAAGUCUAUGACCAUUGAACCGUCCUGCCCUACAGGUUCACAGUCAAGAGUAUAACAUUGGCUAGUAGGAUUUCAUUUCUGUAAAGUUCAGAAACAGACCCGCCUCUGAAAAUGAUGGAGAAAGCAUGAAAAUAAUGAAGGAGGUUGAAAUAAUAGCUAAAUGAAGAAAAUCCUGUGUUGCUUCACUUAUUCUAUAUUAAAAAAGCUUUCAGAAUUACAGGUAAAGGUAAUACCUAUAAUAGAGGAAACUGAAGAUCCACUAAGGACAUGAAAACCUCUGGAGUGAAAUCUUGCUUGCCA